UACGAAGGGGGCUAGCGUUGUUCGGAAUUACUGGGCGUAAAGCGCACGUAGGCGGACUACUAAGUCAGGGGUGAAAUCCCGGGGCUCAACCCCGGAACUGCCUUUGAUACUGGUAGUCUCGAGUCCGGAAGAGGUGAGUGGAAUUCCGAGUGUAGAGGUGAAAUUCGUAGAUAUUCGGAGGAACACCAGUGGCGAAGGCGGCUCACUGGCCCGAUACUGACGCUGAGGCACGAAAGCGUGGGGAGCAAACAGG
rnacentral:rRNA from 1 species